rnacentral:rRNA from 1 species
GACGAACGCUGGCGGCGUGCUUAACACAUGCAAGUCGAACGGAAAGGCCCUGCUUUUGUGGGGUGCUCGAGUGGCGAACGGGUGAGUAACACGUGAGUAACCUGCCCUUGACUUUGGGAUAACUUCAGGAAACUGGGGCUAAUACCGGAUAGGAUCUCCUGCAGCAUGGUGGGGGUUGGAAAGUUUCGGCGGUUGGGGAUGGACUCGCGGCUUAUCAGCUUGUUGGUGGGGUAGUGGCUUACCAAGGCUUUGACGGGUAGCCGGCCUGGGAGGGUGACCGGCCACAUUGGGACUGAGAUACGGCCCAGACUCCUACGGGAGGCAGCAGUGGGGAGUAUUGCACAAUGAGCGGAAGCCUGAUGCAGCAACGCCGCGUGCGGGAUGACGGCCUUCGGGGUGUGAACCGCUUUCGCCUGUGACGAAGCGUGAGUGACGGUAAUGGGUAAAGAAGCACCGGCUAACUACGUG